rnacentral:rRNA from 1 species
AUGAGCUGCUAUGACGCCACUCUUGGCAAACCUGAAGGAGAGCAAGAUGCCCAACAGGCACAAGCUUUUCAGAAAAUGGAUACCUUGUUUAAGGCUGCGCUCUUGAGUGUUCUUGGAGAGAACAUAGUUGAUGCUUAUGCGUCAAUUGACAAUGGAAAAGAUAUGUGGGACGCACUCGAGGCCAAGUUUGGGGUCUCAGAUGCCGGCACUGAGCUGUACAUCAUGGAGCAAUUCUAUGAUUAUAGGAUGACUGAAGAGCGCUCCGUGGUUGAGCAGGCUCAUGAGAUACAGUCAUUUGCUAGAGAACUUGAGCACUUCAAUUGCAUGCUACCGGACAAGUUUGUUGCCGGGGGUAUCAUCACUAAGCUUCCUCCUUCAUGGAGGAACUUUGCUACCUUACUGAAACAUAAGAGACAGGAGUUUUCCGUUCUGGAUCUCAUUGGUACUCUUGAUGUGGAAGAAAAGGCGAGAGCAAAGGACACACGUGCUCGAGGUAUUGAGGGAGGAUCUAGUGCCAAUCUGGUACAGAAGAAAAACUUCCAGUCCCACAAGUUCAAGAACAAGGGCAAGUUUGAUGGUAAAGCAAAGUUUGAUGGGAAGAACAAGGCUGUGCAGCACACGAACUUGAAGAAGAAGAAUGACAAGAAGAAAGGUGCUUGUCACGUGUGUGGAGAUCCUGAUCAUUGGGCUCCUAGUUGCCCCAAUCGCUAUGACAAGCGUCAUCCUGGGAAAGGCGGCAAGACCGCUAAUGUUGUCAUCGGGGACAUUGACAUGAAGGAUGCUGGGUAUGGUAUAUUUCCCACUAUUCUUUCAGUAUGUCAUUCUCCUGAUUGGUUGAUUGACACGGGUGCUAAUGUGCAUGUAUGCGGUGAUAUUUCCAUGUUUUCGUCUUAUCAGACCGCAGGGACUUCAACCAUGCUGAUGGGCAACGGUUCAAGUGCUUAUGUUCGUGGUGUUGGCACGGUCGAUCUGAAGUUUACUUCGGGGAAGAUCGUGCGGCUGAAGAACGUGCAUUAUGUCCCCUCCGUCAAUAAAAAUCUUGUUAGCGGAUCUCUUCUGUGUAGAGAUGGCUAUAAGCUUGUCUUCGAGUCAAAUAAAUUUGUAAUAUCCAAGUAUGGAACCUUUGUUGGUAAAGGCUAUGAGUCAGGAGGCCUGUUUCGUUUAUCCUUAUUAGACGUUUGCAAUAAAGUUGUUAAUCAUAUUUGCAACAAUAGUGAAUCAAAUUGUGGCAUUCACGACUUUGUCAUGUUAACUUUGGUUGCAUGUCGCGACUAG